rnacentral:rRNA from 1 species
UACGUAGGCAGCAAGCGUUGUUCGGAAUUACUGGGCGUAAAGAGUGCGUAGGCGGUUGGGCAAGUCCGUUGUGAAAUCUCCCGGCUUAACUGGGAGGGUGCGGUGGAAACUGCCCGGCUAGAGUGUGGGAGAGGAAAGUGGAAUUCCUGGUGUAGCGGUGAAAUGCGUAGAUAUCAGGAGGAACACCUGCGGUGUAGACGGCUUUCUGGACCACUACUGACGCUGAGGCACGAAAGCGUGGGGAG